AGAGUUUGAUCCUGGCUCAGGACGAACGCUGGCGGCGUGCCUAAUACAUGCAAGUCGAGCGAAGUUUUUCUGGUGCUUGCACUAGAAAAACUUAGCGGCGAACGGGUGAGUAACACGUAAAGAACCUGCCUCAUAGACGGGGACAACUAUUGGAAACGAUAGCUAAUACCGGAUAACAGCAUAAAUCGCAUGAUAUAUGUUUAAAAGUUGGUUUCGGCUAACACUAUGAGAUGGCUUUGCGGUGCAUUAGCUAGUUGGUGGGGUAAAGGCCUACCAAGGCGACGAUGCAUAGCCGACCUGAGAGGGUGAUCGGCCACACUGGGACUGAGACACGGCCCAGACUCCUACGGGAGGCAGCAGUAGGGAAUCUUCCGCAAUGGGCGAAAGCCUGACGGAGCAACGCCGCGUGAGUGAAGAAGGAUUUCGGUUCGUAAAGCUCUGUUGUUAGGGAAGAAUGAUUGUAUAGUAACUAUAUACAGUAGAGACGGUACCUAACCAGAAAGCCACGGCUAACUACGUGCCAGCAGCCGCGGU
rnacentral:rRNA from 1 species